UACGAAGGGGGCUAGCGUUGCUCGGAAUCACUGGGCGUAAAGGGUGCGUAGGCGGGUCUUUAAGUCAGGGGUGAAAUCCUGGAGCUCAACUCCAGAACUGCCCUUGAUACUGAAGAUCUUGAGUUCGGGAGAGGUGAGUGGAACUGCCAGUGUAGAGGUGAAAUUCGUAGAUAUUCGCAAGAACACCAGUGGCGAAGGCGGCUCACUGGCCCGAUACUGACGCUGAGGCCCGAAAGCGUGGGGAGCAAACAGG
rnacentral:rRNA from 1 species